ACGAACGCUGGCGGCGUGCCUAAUGCAUGCAAGUCGAGCGGAAUGAUGAAGAAGCUUGCUUCUUCUGAUUUUAGCGGCGGACGGGUGAGUAACACGUGGGCAACCUACCUUGUAGAUUGGGAUAACUCCGGGAAACCGGGGCUAAUACCGAAUAAUCCAUUUUGCUUCAUGGCGAGAUGUUGAAAGACGGUUUCGGCUGUCACUACAAGAUGGGCCCGCGGCGCAUUAGCUAGUUGGUAGGGUAAUGGCCUACCAAGGCGACGAUGCGUAGCCGACCUGAGAGGGUGAUCGGCCACACUGGGACUGAGACACGGCCCAGACUCCUACGGGAGGCAGCAGUAGGGAAUCUUCCACAAUGGACGAAAGUCUGAUGGAGCAACGCCGCGUGAGUGAAGAAGGUUUUCGGAUCGUAAAACUCUGUUGUAAGGGAAGAACACGUACGAGAGUAACUGCUCGUACCUUGACGGUACCUUAUUAGAAAGCCACGGCUAACUACGUG
rnacentral:rRNA from 1 species